rnacentral:hammerhead_ribozyme from 1 species
AUUCAACUGAUGAGUGCCAAAUAGGACGAAACACGCUUACUGGAU